rnacentral:rRNA from 1 species
UGGGGAAUAUUGGACAAUGGGCGCAAGCCUGAUCCAGCCAUGCCGCGUGAGUGAUGAAGGCCCUAGGGUUGUAAAGCUCUUUCACCGGUGAAGAUAAUGACGGUAACCGGAGAAGAAGCCCCGGCUAACUUCGUGCCAGCAGCCGCGGUAAUACGAAGGGGGCUAGCGUUGUUCGGAUUUACUGGGCGUAAAGCGCACGUAGGCGGACUUUUAAGUCAGGGGUGAAAUCCCGGGGCUCAACCCCGGAACUGCCUUUGAUACUGGAAGUCUUGAGUAUGGUAGAGGUGAGUGGAAUUCCGAGUGUAGAGGUGAAAUUCGUAGAUAUUCGGAGGAACACCAGUGGCGAAGGCGGCUCACUGGACCAUUACUGACGCUGAGGUGCGAAAGCGUGGGGAGCAAACAGGGUUAGAUACCCUGGUAGUCCACGCCGUAAACGAUGAAUGUUAGCCGUUGGGGAGUUUACUCUUCGGUGGCGCAGCUAACGCAUUAAACAUUCCGCCUGGGGAGUACGGUCGCAAGAUUAAAACUUAAAUGAAUUGACGGGG